AUUGAACGCUGGCGGCAUGCUUUACACAUGCAAGUCGAACGGCAGCGCGGGCUUCGGCCUGGCGGCGAGUGGCGAACGGGUGAGUAAUAUAUCGGAACGUACCCAAGAGUGGGGGAUAACGUAGCGAAAGUUACGCUAAUACCGCAUACGAUCUAAGGAUGAAAGCAGGGGAUCGCAAGACCUUGUGCUCCUGGAGCGGCCGAUAUCUGAUUAGCUAGUUGGUGAGGUAAAGGCUCACCAAGGCAACGAUCAGUAGCUGGUCUGAGAGGACGACCAGCCACACUGGAACUGAGACACGGUCCAGACUCCUACGGGAGGCAGCAGUGGGAAUUUGGACAAUGGGGCAACCCUGAUCCAGCAAUGCCGCGUGAGUGAAGAAGGCC
rnacentral:rRNA from 1 species